rnacentral:rRNA from 1 species
GACGAACGCUGGCGGCGUGCUUAACACAUGCAAGUGGUGCGACGAACCAGGCUUCGGCCUGGGGCAGAGCCGCGAACGGGUGAGUAACACGUGGGCAACCUGCCCUGUUGAUCGGGACAACCCGGGGAAACCCGGGCUAAUACCGAAUGUGGUGCCGGCUCAUGAGAGCCGUCACAAAGGAAGCUUCGGCCUCCGCGACAGGAUGGGCCCGCGGCCCAUUAGCUUGUUGGUGGGGUAAUGGCCUACCAAGGCAACGAUGGGUAGCUGGUCUGAGAGGACGAUCAGCCACACUGGGACUGAGACACGGCCCAGACUCCUACGGGAGGCUGCAGUGGGGAAUCUUGCGCAAUGAGCGACAGCUUGACGCAGCAACGCCGCGUGGGGGAAGAAGGCUUUCGGGUCGUAAACCCCUUUCAGUUAGGGAAGAACAAGUGCUAGUUGAAUAAGCUGGCACCUUGACGGUACCUAACCAGAAAGCCACGGCUAACUACGUGCCAGCCGCCGCGGUAA